AGGACGAACGCCGGCGGCGUGCUUAACACAUGCAAGUCGAGCGGAAAGGCCCUUCGGGGUACUCGAGCGGCGAACGGGUGAGUAACACGUGAGCAACCUGCCCUUAGCUCUGGGAUAGCUCCGGGAAACCGGAAUUAAUACCGGAUAUUACACCGGCUGGCAUCGGCUGGUGUGGAAAGAUUUAUCGGCUAAGGAUGGACUCGCGGCCUAUCAGCUUGUUGGUGGGGUAGAAGCCUACCAAGGCGACGACGGGUA
rnacentral:rRNA from 1 species